GGGGAGGCGGGGCUGGAGGAAGCUCCCUGCUCUGGAGGGUCCUCUGGCUGCUGGUGGAAGGCAAAGAAACUGGGAAGGACAGGUCAUAAGGAGAGGAAGAACACAGGCGUGAGGAUUCCAGAGCUUUCUCCGUCCGGUUCCAAGAGCCUCUUUGGAGAGAAGAGACUUCCAUGCACUUCAUUUCUUCUCCCAACACAUUUUCUAAUUAGCCAGACGGUGCUCCAUUGCUAUGAAUAGGCAAGUAAACCUGCAUUUCCUUA